AUGCUAGAGCACUUUUUCAUUGUGCUCCCCAACGAGAAGGCGACGACGCAUUCGUAUGUCAAUCCAUAUCAACUUUCGAUGCCAUUGACUGCGCCUACCAUGGUGACCAUGGGCAACGGGGAAUCAGGGUUCCAUUCCGUACAGGGACCCUGACAAAUGGCUACCACAUGCAAGGAAGGCA